UCCCUGGUGGCUUAGAUGGUAAAGCGUCUGCCUGCAACGCGGGAGACCCAUGUUUGAUCCCUGGGUUGGGAA
rfam:TPA: Bos taurus chromosome 1, whole genome shotgun sequence.